rnacentral:rRNA from 1 species
UACGUAGGGUGCGAGCGUUGUCCGGAAUUAUUGGGCGUAAAGAGCUCGUAGGCGGUGUGUCACGUCGGCCGUGAAAACCUGCAGCUUAACUGUGGGCGUGCGGUCGAUACGGGCAUCACUGGAGUUCGGCAGGGGAGACUGGAAUUCCUGGUGUAGCGGUGAAAUGCGCAGAUAUCAGGAGGAACACCGGUGGCGAAGGCGGCAUCCUGGACCAUUACUGACGCUGAGGCGCGAAAGCUAGGGGAGCGAACAGG